rnacentral:rRNA from 1 species
UACGGAGGGUGCGAGCGUUGUCCGGAAUCACUGGGCGUAAAGGGCGCGUAGGCGGACCUGCAAGUCGGGGGUGAAAGCCCGAGGCUCAACCUCGGAACUGCCUUCGAUACUGCGGGUCUCGAGUCCGGGAGAGGUGAGUGGAAUUCCUAGUGUAGAGGUGAAAUUCGUAGAUAUUAGGAAGAACACCAGUGGCGAAGGCGGCUCACUGGCCCGGUACUGACGCUGAGGCGCGAAAGCGUGGGGAGCAAACAGG